UCGGCAACGACCACCCAGGGCCGGAAAGUUGGUCAAACCCGGUCAUUUAGAGGAAGUAAAAGUCGUAACAAGGUCUCCGUAGGUGAACCUGCGGAGGGAUCAUUACAAGAACUUCCGGGCUUCGGCCUGGUUAUUCAUAACCCUUUGUUGUCCGACUCUGUUGCCUCCGGGGCGACCCUGCCUUCGGGCGGGGGCUCCGGGUGGACACUUCAAACUCUUGCGUAACUUUGCAGUCUGAGUAAACUUAAUUAAUAAAUUAAAACUUUUAACAACGGAUCUCUUGGUUCUGGCAUCGAUGAAGAACGCAGCGAAAUGCGAUAAGUAAUGUGAAUUGCAGAAUUCAGUGAAUCAUCGAAUCUUUGAACGCACAUUGCGCCCCCUGGUAUUCCGGGGGGCAUGCCUGUUCGAGCGUCAUUUCACCACUCAAGCCUCGCUUGGUAUUGGGCAACGCGGUCCGCCGCGUGCCUCAAAUCGUCCGGCUGGGUCUUCUGUCCCCUAAGCGUUGUGGAAACUAUUCGCUAAAGGGUGUUCGGGAGGCUACGCCGUAAAACAACCCCAUUUCUAAGGUUGACCUCGGAUCAGGUAGGGAUACCCGCUGAACUUAAGCAUAUCAAUAAGCGGAGGAAAAGAAACCAACAGGGAUUGCUCUAGUAACGGCGAGUGAAGCAGCAAUAGCUCAAAUUUGAAAUCUGGCGUCUUCGACGUCCGAGUUGUAAUUUGUAGAGGAUGCUUCUGAGUGGCCACCGACCUAAGUUCCUUGGAACAGGACGUCAUAGAGGGUGAGAAUCC
rnacentral:rRNA from 1 species